ensembl:snRNA U6 U6 spliceosomal RNA
GUGCUCACUUUGGCAGCACAUAUACUAAAAAUGGAACGAUACAGAGAAGAUUAGCAUAGCCCCUGCGCAAGGACGACACACAAAUUCAUGAAGCGUUCCAUAUUAAA